GGGAGUAAAUGAACAAUGAAAUCAAACACAAAGACAACGUGUUCAAUAGAGGAAUUAGUGUCGAUGAAAAGCUAAAACCAAAACUAAAGGAUUAGAAGCACGAAAUAAUACACCCGUGGAUUGGAAAACACACGAUUAUCAUGAACGAUAGGUUCAAAGCAGUCAAAGGAACAUGCAGCUAAGGCCAAUGUUGUGCCUAUGGAAGAAGAACAACUUGCUUCAGUCUCAAACAAGUUGAGGUAUAAGAAUUUACUAUUCCAUUUAAGCUCAACACAUGUCAUCAUCAUACCAAAUAAAAAUACAAGUGAAAAUAAGUUACAUAACAAAAAUAAUUAAAACCUUUUUCCAACUAGUAGAUAUGGCCUAUAUGAGUCUUGAUACUACAUUGUGUCCUAUCUUUAACCAAGUCUGCAUUGAUUCCAAGAAAUUAUAGGUCGUUCGAGACAACUUCUCUAGGUCUAUCUCAUCUCCUUUUAACACAUUGGUCACCAUGGUCUCACACCUACUAACCGGUACAUCUGGAGGUCGCUGCAACACGUUGAACCUAUGAAAGAAGUAGUCAUUAAAAAGUUCAAACCAUUUAUCAUUAACAACUCCUCCUAUUGUUUCUUCCCUUAAAAACCAAUUGUUGGAUGCACACCAAAACAACUUUGGGAAGGAAUAAUCCUCAAGGUGCCUAAUCAUUUGCUACCAUUUUUAUUUAAUAAUAGAUUAUGCCCAUAAUGCUUCUUUUUUUCUUAUCCAGAAAGCACAGCUGUAUAUGUCUAAGAGAAAAAUAUGAAUGAAUAUAGUAGGUCUCACCAUCCACCAUAUAACAUCAAAAUAAAUGAACCCCACAAGCUCAGAAAGUGGAUCUAUUGAAAUGCAAUCAUUACAUUCCAGAAGUCUUAAAAAGCUUCUGACUCCCAGUGUAUGUCAGUAACAGUUUCUUAGACAUCAAUAUAACAAAGUUAAAACUCACUUUAUGCCAGUAGCAUGUUGGAAAAUUGUACUGUGUAUAUAUAUUGGACACUUUAGGUGAAUUUCUUGGCUUUGCCACUGUUAAAUUCACUAAGCUACUAGUACUCUAGGAGUAAUAAAACUCAGUAAAAACCAUAUUGAUGAUGAAUUUUAUUAAGCUUCUCUUGUUUAACAUGUCCUCUGGAGAGGCUCAUACAAAUGAUGNNNNNNNNNNNNNNNNNNNNNNNNNNNNNNNNNNNNNNNNNNNNNNNNNNNNNNNNNNNNNNNNNNNNNNNNNNNNNNNNNNNNNNNNNNNNNNNNNNNNNNNNNNNNNNNNNNNNNNNNNNNNNNNNNNNNNNNNNNNNNNNNNNNNNNNNNNNNNNNNNAUUUCAAGACAACAAAGGUACAAGCACUAGAUAUUCAGAUAACGUACAGUUCUCAAUAACAGUCAGACCUCACUAUAUCAAAGACCUUCAACAACAUUUCACUAUAACGGGCAAGUUUUCUGUGGUACUGAUUUUUCAUGUUGUGUUAUAUUAUAUGUUCUCUAUAACAACAUUCCACUAUAGCAGUCAAAAAAAUCCGAACAAGCGAUGCAAUUAUAGAGAGGUUUGACUGUAUAUCAACCUUCUCAAGGAGAAAUGAAUGCAUAGUUCCACUAAUAUUAGGAAGUAAUCAAGUUCCCUAGAAUUGGAUUCAGAGUUCUUAUUUCAUACGAAAACCCAAAGAUAAUUUUUUAAAAAUUCUUUUUCAAUUUCACUCAACAGCCAAAAUCCAUAGCAACACACCUAGUGAAAUCUCACAAGUGGGGGUCUGGGAAGGGUAGGGAGAGUAGUGUACUCAGACCUUACCUCUAUCUCAAAGUUAGAGAGAAUGUUUCCGAUGGCCUCAAAAAAACAUUUCAAAACAGUCAACAACUAUAAACAAAAACAACAAAUAUUUUAAAAACAAAAACUAUAACAAAACAAUAAGAUAAUUGAGAUACAAAAAAUAUUGUAUAGUAACAGAAAUCGAAGAACAAAAAACUACAGUAGCAAUACUACGACAACUAAUAAAAUAAAAAAUCAAGAAGCUCACAUUGAUCACAGUAAAGACAACUUCCCAAGGCUGAAAAACACCAUCUUUCCAACCUGAAAAGUUACAAACACUCAGAAACUCCUCAUUCCAUUCAACAAGCCCUUCAUCUUCCUUCAACCACUCUUCUUUAGUAAAAUUCUUCUUUACACUUCUCCUAUUAAAUGACCCCAAAUUCAAUGAAAUACCCUUUGAUGAUCCCUUCCACUUAAUUUCAACUCUGAAUCUAUCAAAAUCUUGGACCCCCAUUUUCUCAUUUAACAAAAAGUUGAAACCUUUAAGGCAAUUAAUAGUAAUCUUAGCCUCGUAUUUAUUUGAUGAUAAUAAGGGUGAGCAUGACAUCCACUUCAUCAUCUUCACAACCAUAUUAUAUAUAUAAACUUUUUCACCCAGGUGUCGCCUAGCGGUCAAUGAAAUGAGUCACAACAGGUUCAAAUUCUAAUAAAGACAAGGUUCGAACUCUACGAUUAUCAAAUAUAUAUGUAUAUUUUUUUCACCGACACAAAACAAAAAAAUACCAAGAAAGAUCACUUUUUUUCUCAAAAAGACUUAAGGACUAGGAAUGUGCUUGUAGACACCGGGUGGUUUGGUACAUGAUGAAUAAACAGUAGUUACUAUAAAUAGGGAAAUAUAAUAAUUUUAAGAUAUAGUGCAUCCCAAGCUUUACGGUGAGAAAAUGAUUAAUUUCCUUAUAUGGCAUAUUAAAACAACUUCUCUAUAUCUUAUAUUAUUUCGAUUUAUUUUUAUUUGUCACGCUUGAUUUUGUUUUUUUUUUUUACUUUUUACAUGAGGUAUAAGAGGUCGAAUAUAAUGGGUAUGAGGAAAGACGGGGGAAGCUUGCUAAUAGUGAGGGGGUUCAUCCAAACUCCCUUCCGCAGAAUAUUAUACUACUAUUUAUACAAGUUUAAAAUGAUUUUUCAUGUAUAUAUAGCAGACGUUGAACCCCCUUCGACUAGUUCUUUAGUCCAUAUUUUUUGAUUUUGAACCCCCUUAGUUAAGAUUGAGGAAAGGUUGAUAUAGGUCGGUGAUAUAUUGAAGAGAGAUGAUUAGAUAGGACAUAGUGUAAUUUUUUACUUUGCGAGAGUUAAUUUAACUAAUAUUCGGUUUAAAUUGAAUUUAUUUAAAAUUCAAAUGUUUGAUAACUAUACGAAAGAAUACUACUUCUUCGGAUUCAAUUUAUUAUCUGGUUUUGAUUUGACAUUGAGUUUAAAAAAGUAAAGAAUAUUUUAAAAUUUUGCAAUUAAAUUAUGUCUUUUACUUGUGUGGUUCACUUUUAUUUGUCACGUUCGACUUUGUCUAUUUUUACUUUUCAAGAAAGCUAUGAGAGGUUGGAUAUAAUGAACACGAGGAGAGGUUGAUGUAGGUCAAUGAAGUAUUGGAGAACAUAGAUUAGAAAAGAUAUAGUAUAACAAAAUUUAUUUUAAAAAAUUCAAAUGUUUAAAAACUAUAGAGAAAAUCUACUUUUAUUGUUUCAAUUUGUUUGUUUGAUUUUGACUUGACAUGAAAUUUAAGAAAAACGAAGAAUAUUUUAAUUCUUGUGGCCGGAGUCCUACACUAAAUAUAUGUAGAAUAUAUCAACAUAUCAUUUAAUCUUGUUGUGUUAAACAUAUCGUGUGGAGAGUUAAAGCAUUAUCAAAAAAUAAAGCAUAUAUUUUAAACAACUAAAAAGAAACGUACGGCAAAUAGAUUAAAACAGAGGGAGUAGAAUAAGUUGUAAUCCUUUUCGUAUAAAUAUAAUUAAAAAAUAUAUUUUAAAAUUUUGAUCAACAUCAAUGCAAUUUAAUUCUCAAGGAAUAAAAUAUGACAAGUAAAUCAAACGAAUAGAAUGAUAAUUUUAUACAUACAUAAAUUUAUAAUAUAUUAAAAGUGUGAAGACCCUUAAAAAAAUUGAUUUGAACUUUUGCCCUUCAUUAAAAGACUUUCUUUAGACAAAACUGUAUUUUCACUAUUUUUUAAAUUUAUUAUUUAUUUAUUGUUUAUUAUAUUGACUAGAAUUCCUAAAAUAUAUGGGACGCCUAAAAUAUAUGGUAGGAGAAUUAAUUAAUAUUUUUCUUUCUACUGUUCAAGUAGAAAAAUACUCCUAAAAUAUGACUAAUUUAUUAUUUAAUUAUUUUUUAUUAUAUUAACUAGACUUCCUAAUAUAUGGGACUCCUAAAAUAUAUGGUAGGAGAAUUAAUUACUAUUUUUUUCUUUCUACUGUUUGAUUAGAAAAAUACUCCUAAAAUAGGAUUCUAUUAAGGAAAUACUCUAUAAAUUUUAAUUAUCUUAUUAUUUUACUUUAAUUUACAGAUGUUAGCUAAAUGUGUGUCGGCUUUGAAUUUUUUUUUAGGUAAAUGUUAGGUUUAAUUGUAUUAUCGUAAUAUCUAUAUUAAAUUUAUUAUUUUGUGGUAAUUUACAGUUCGUAGAUGAAUGUCGAUCGGUUUUAAGAAAUUUUUAUGUGUAAAAUUUAAGUUUAAUAAUAUUAUUUUUAUAUCACUUUUAUCGUAUUAUUUUGUUGUAAUUUACAGGUGAUAGAUAAAUAUUGGUCAGCUUUGAGAAAUUUUUUAUGUAAAAGUUAGGUUUAGUUGUAUUAUUUUGAUAUCUCUAUUAUUGUAUUACUUUAUUAUUGUUUACAGAUGUUAGGUGAAUGUCGAACGACUUUGAGAAAUUUUUUGUGUGUAAAGAUUAGAUUUAGUUGUGUUAUUUUGAUAUCUCAAUCAUUAUAUUAUUUUGUUAUAAUUUAUAGAUGGUAGAUGAAUGUCGAUCGACUUUUAAAAAUAUUUUGGUAAAGAUUAGGUAUAAUAAAUAAAUUCUUCAUCUUUACAUACUCAAAAGAUAUUAGUUUUUUUCUUCAUUUUUUCUUUUCCUUUUUUUGUUUUCUCUUCUUUCUUUCUUUUUUCAAAUUUUUCUUUCUCGUUAUCUUUUUUCCAUUUUGUCUUUUUUUUUUCUUUUUUUUUUUUUGUUUUUUUCCCCUAUUUUCUAUUACUCUUUUCUUUUUUUUUUUCCAAUUUUUUCCUUCAUUUUUUCUUUUCCUUUUUUUGUUUUCUCGUUUUUCUUUCCUUUUUCAAUUUUUUUCUUUUUCGUUGUCUUUUUUUCAUUUUAUCCUUUUUUUUUUCUUUUUCUUCUUUUCCUUUUCAAUUUUUCUCUUUUUUUCUCUAUUUUCUAUUACUGUUCUUCUUUGUUUGUAUUUUUCUCGUUUUUUCUUCUUUUUUUUUUCUUUUUCUCUUUCUUUUCAUUUGUGCGAACUAGCAAACACAAAUACAAGUGUGAACUAUAAAAUAUAAAUACAAAGACGAAUUAUAACAUACAAAUACAAGUGGGAACUAUAAAAUACAAAUAUAAAUGCGAAUUAUAACAUAUAGAUACAAGUGUGAACUAUCAUUUAUAUUUUUUAAUUAUUGAAAAGGAACGAUUGAUUUUCUUUUUACGAAUAUUUAUUUGUAUUUAUUUAUACGAGUUGUAUUUAUUGAUACAAAUAAAUACAAUUCAAUUUUUUUACAAAAAAUACAAUAUAUACAAAUACAAUAUCUAUUUGUAUUUUUAAAAUUAUUGGUUUUAUUUGUUUGUAAUUGUAUUUGUAUCAAGUGAUAUUUAUUUAUUUACAAAUACGAAUAGAAUAGAAUAUUUUAUAUUUUGAAAGUGAAUACAACGGCUGUGAAUAGAAUACAACAGCUAAAUGAUACUGUAUUUGUAUUUUAUAUUUUAUAUGAAUACAUACUAUUGAUAAAGUUGAAUACAACGGGUGUAAAUUGAAUAUAGCGGCUAUAAAUGAUAAUUAUAUAAUAUAUGGCUAUGAAAGGUGAGUUUUCCAGCAAAAUGUAGCAAUUUUUGAAAGAUCCCCUUUUUAUUAUAUUAACUAGAAUCCUAAAACAUAUGGACUCCUAAAAUAUAUGAAAGGAAAAUCAAUUAAUAUUUUCGUUUGUACUGAUCAAUUAGAGAAAUACUCCUAAAAUAGUAUAGAAAAAUUCUCCUAAAAUAGGAUUCCAUUAAGUAAAUACUUCUAUAAAUAUUAAGAUGCACGUUAAACUAGAGAAAAAACCAAUUUACUUAUUGGAUAAAUAUGAUAGAUGCUCAUCUAACUUGAUUCGGUUGCAUGUCUAGAUUCGUGGAUGCUCAAUUUUCUAACCCUCAACUUCUUCACUAUUUUUGUCAACAUAAUAAAAUUCAAUGUGUGUGUAUAUAUAUAUAUCUUCUUUGCUUUCAUUCAAGUCAUUCUUUAGUGUCAAAAUUUUUGCUCAGACAAGAAUUAUUUACAUCAAAACUGAAGUUUUGUGAUCACUAUUGUAUUAUUUUGUUGUAGUUUACAGGUUGUAGAUGAAUUUACAGGUGGUAGAUGAAUGUUGGUCGGCUUUGAGAAUUUUUUUUGGGUGAGGGUUAGGUUUAAUUGCAUUGUUUUUAUAUCUCUGUUUUGCAAAAUUUUUUUGCGUAAAGGUAAAGUUUAGUUGUAUUAUUUUGAUAUCUCUAUUGUCAUAUUAUUUUGUUAUAGUUUACAGGUGAUAGACGAGUGUCGGACGGCUUUGAAUUGUGUAAAGGUUAGAUUUAAUUAUAUUGUUUUGAUGUCUCUAUCAUCUUAUUGUUUUGUUGCUGUUUAUAGGUGGUAGAUGAAUGUCGAUCGGCUUUGAGAAAUUCUUUUGGUAAAGGCUAGGUUUAAUUAAAUCAAUUCUCCAAAAGAUGUUAAAUUUAAUUAUUGUAUUUAUCUUUAUUAUUUAAACAAAUUUGAACUCGAUAAAGUGAGGUACACUAAACUAGUUUUAUAAUACAUGGUAACCCACUUUUACUAAUAUUAUUUACAACAGUGGCUUUUAUGGCUUUGAUUAUUUUUUUUGAGAUAAGCAUCCAGUAUUGCCUCAAACUAUGGUAAAAUUUGUUACAACACACUCCAACUUCACAGAGAUCCUAUUACCCCUGAACUCAAUUUUAGCAAAUUUUUGUCACUCUUUUGUGCUGACGUAGCAUGUUUGUUAUAUAAAAGGGGCUCCACGUCAAAGAUGUCACGUCAGCUAAAAAGAUUGACAAAAGAUGUUACGGCAGCACAAAAGAGUGAUAAAAAUACGCUAUAAUUGAUUUCAGGGGUAAUUGGAUCCCCUGAAUUUGGAGUGUGUCGUAGCAAAUUUGAUCAUAGUUUAGGGUAGUAGAUGCUUUACUCUAUUUUUUGAAAAAACUUGGUUUGAAUUUAGAUGCAGCCUAUUUAGAAGAAGAAAGAAGUAUACAAUGACUAUUGUUGUCUAAAAAUUUUCUUUGAAAAGUAACUUUUGUUCUUGUUUAAAAGAACUACAAUGCUUUAUUUAUAACUCUUGACUAAUGGUCUAGCUCUGCAUCUGCAAGGGGGUGUAAUAUAGACGACCUACCCUUAUGCAAGCUGAUUCUAUGGCCCCAUUCCAAUGACUUAUAGGUCACAAAGCGACACAUAAGUAAGUAGCCUACCCUAACACUGCUUCCAAUGCUCAAACCUGUGACCUAUAGAUCACAUGGAGAAUUGCGUAACCGCCACCAUCAACAACUGAUUCCACGACACAAACCUAUGACUGGCAUAUAUUUAAGCAACCUAUUUGGAUGUGCAAGUACCAGUGUGACUUCGUAGCUCGAACUCGUGAGCUAUAAGUCACACGUAAACUUUAUUGUCAGCCUAUCCUGCUGUUCAGGUACCAAUGAGUGAUUUGGAUGACUCGAGUUCACGCACAAUUGUCCUUGCUCCAAAGAUAGAGAAAAAUGAUUAUCCUAAUGUACACAGUGUGAUGGUGCAGUAUACUUUCUUAAUUCUUACUAUUGAAAAGGGCAGCCCGCUGUGCUAUAGCUCCCGCUAUGCACAGGGUUUGUGGAAGGGCCCCACCACAAGGGUGUAUUGUACGCAGUCUUACCUUGUAUUUCUGGUAGUUACCUUGACCAGGAGGUCACAUGACAACAACUUUACCGAUUAAUCCAAGGCUCCCCUUCAAAAGAAGCGUCGACGAAAAUCGUUUGACUGGUGAAGGGGAAGAAUACCUUCAACUACUAGGGUUGGUUUUCAAAUAAAAAUAAAACAAUAAUAAUCAAGAGGAGUAUAGAACUAAUGUGUUCAUUUAUCUCAACUUCUCUCUUUGAGAGAACCAUAGAAAAGUACUCUUGAGCAGUUCCAUAGUCAUUUACAUUAACAUUAGCAUUCCUCGAGUACGAAGAAGAAAAGACAAAGAAUAUACCGACGAGCUAGUUACACUCAUAUAUACGAAUGAAAACAAAGAAGAGACUCUCCAGCUCAAAAUUCCUAAAUGGUAUGUAGAACAAAUAGGAUUAGUGCUAUGUAUAUACUCUUAAAGCUUUACCAAUCAUUGCUUAUUCUGCUGCUGCCAAUGGUACUUUGGCCAAACUGUUAGCAAUCAGUUCUUCUGAAGACGACUCCUCAAACUUGGGGACAAAGCUCAUCGUGUAGUGGAACUCUAUUUGUAGGCGCUGAUGAAGGGGUGUCGAUGCCAUCAAUCCUUUCUUUACAUCAACUUGUAACUCCCUAAUAGGGAUUGCUGCCAAAAAACUCUUAAUGUACUCUUUACAUGCCUCUUUACCUUUAUAAAUGAUGUUCUUUUCAGGUACCCUGUCUUCCUGCAUACUGUCGUCGCUGUUGGUGCUCAUGAAAAUUUUGCUUUCAUCCGCAGCCUCUUUGACAUCGGUUUUCUGUUUUCUAUCGCAAGAUGGCUUAUCAUCUGGUUGUUGAGACUCACUAGGUGCUUGCAUAAUUGUUGUAUCUUGGUCAAAUUUGAGGAUAUAUGCCUGAUUACAACCCUCAAAAAGUAUCUCCCCAAGUGUGUCAUUGAUAUAGUACUCGUCUUUUUCAACCUUGAGGAUAAAGAAGUGGUCAUUCUAACUCACAAUGUAAACACAGGAGAUGCCAUGAUGAGGAGUUUCUUGAGUGGACUUAGAAAUCUCAUCCCAUAUGUUGUCAAAAGACGUGGAACCAUGAAGGAAGUGGAAUCCUUCCUCUUCUUCGAUUCCUUCGGGAUGAAAGAACCCAAUGAAUGAUUUUUCUGAGACUACUGAGAGUGGACGCACUUUAGCCUCGAGAACUGUCACGAGGUCAAAAUGCUUAUAUGGAAAACGUUCCCUAUAGGUCUCGUUUUCACAAAGAUCCCUCCACUGCAUCGAGCCUUCACAGAUAAGAGAAUCAAGUUGGGAUUUGAUGGGCAUAUCUUCAGGAUUGCAGUGGAACCAAUCAGCUAUGACAGCAACCAAGUUUGUACAAGCGCUUUCACCAGUAGCUCGUUUACUUCGUUGAUCAAUCAAAGCAAAGAAUAUCGAAGUCUGCAGCUUCAUUUGUCCGUCAUGGCUUAUUAUUUCUUUUUGCUCCCAACUACCCACAGCAAAACUUUCAUCUCAAAACUUAGAGACUGAAAUCGGAGAAGUUUCCUCAGAUUUGUGCCCCUGUAUGAACUACACACAUUAGUAAGAGGACUAGUUAUGACAUAUAUCGUCAAUCAUGAAUAAGAAAACCUCAGCAGUUAGAUACUUGAUACAACUGUACAAGUAGACUAAGCUACUAAAGAAAGCUACCAAACUUUGUAAUCUUCAAUUCGGCAAGCACAUUAGUGUACAAGUUAUUGCACGUUGAUCAGACCAUGACAUGAAGAUAAAAAAUGACUCAUCAAACAUAACAAAGAAAGCAAGAAAAAAAGAGACGUACCCUAGAAGAAGACUCGUUAGAUGAGCAAAGCUGUCGGCGAUCAAAGUCUAUAUCAUCUGCACCAUCCUCUCCAUAAUGUUUCUUCAACAAUGGCUCCCCCUUGGUUUUAGGAUAUUUUAAACUCAACUUCCUCUUCCUCCAGGAAAGAAGACUACAUUUUGAACUCUGCUCUGCAGAUUGAUUUGCUGCAGUUUUAUCCUCAGGGUACUUGUGCUUUGUGUCUGAAAUAUGAUGGCUGUAGUGGACUAAAUCCUCGUUACUACUGCUGCCGCUUGUAUUUGAACAAAAUGAUCCACCAGCAUGGUCUGUAUAGACGGGUGCUUCAUAACUGAAUAACUUCUGAACACUUGUAUCCUCUUUUCCUUUCUCAGAUUCUCCUACCGAAUCCUCAUCAAGUUAAUCGGUAUCCACAGGAUAAACAUAAUCGGGAUCCUCACUUCUGACUGAGUUCCUUCCAUCACUGCUGCUACCUUCCUCUGCAUGAUAUGCCUUUUUGUGUCGCCUAAAAGAUAAUGAUUUCCAAAAUUUAACCUUUUGUAGACCUGCUUUUAAAGAACCACCCCCAUUUCUGUCUGUCAACAAAGCCUUUCCAGGGUUUGGAGAUACUGGAGCAGACAUGAUAAACUUCAGAAAUAUCUCUGAAGCUUCGUGAGUGUUCCUCAAUUCCACAAGGUUGAGCACUAGCUGUCAACAAAUAUAUGAACAUAUCUUUAGGAAACAGUUGCAUUAGAUAAUAUAUUCACGUAGCUGCAGGAAUACAAGAACGCAAACAAAAAGCAUGUGUUUUAGUUUCUCUUAAACAGAGUGAAAGGCAAUUCUUGAAGCUGCCAACAGAGACUUUCAAGGGAACAAAAUUUUCAAUGCACUCUUGUUUAUCUCUAGCUACUGAAGCAAAGUCUGCAAGAUUCAAUGUCGCAGCAGAAAGUAUGGGUACCUUCUGAUUUGGUCCUUUGCUUGUACCCUGAUUCAGCAGAAGUAUGAAUAAAUACAAAGAAGGGAGUAAAUGAACAAUGAAAUCGAACACAACGACAACUUGUUCAAUGGAGAAAUUAGUGUCGAUGAAAAGCUAAAACCAAAACUAAAUGAUUAAAAGCACGAAAUAAUACACCCAUGGAUUGAAAAACACACGAUUCUCAUGAACGAUAGGUUCAAAGCAGUCAAAGGAACAUGCAGAUAAGGCCAAUGUUGUGCCUAUGGAAGAAGAACA
rnacentral:lncRNA from 1 species